UACGUAGGGGGCAAGCGUUAUCCGGAUUUACUGGGUGUAAAGGGAGCGUAGGUGGCAUGGUAAGCCAGAAGUGAAAACCCAGGGCUCAACUCUGUGGAUUGCUUUGGAACUAUCAAGCUAGAGUGCUGGAGGGGUAAGCGGAAUUCCUAGUGUAGCGGUGAAAUGCGUAGAUAUUAGGAGGAACACCAGUGGCGAAGGCGGCUCACUGGACUGUAACUGACGCUGAGGCAUGAGAGCAUGGGGAGCAAACAGG
rnacentral:rRNA from 1 species